rnacentral:rRNA from 1 species
CCUACGGGUGGCAGCAGUCGAGAAUCAUUCACAAUGGGGGAAACCCUGAUGGUGCGACGCCGCGUGGGGGAAUGAAGUUCUUCGGAUUGUAAACCUCUGUCAUGUGGGAGCAAAUUAAAAAGAUAGUACCACCUGAUGAAGAGCCGGCGAACUCUGUGCCAGCAGCCGCGGUAAUACAGAGGUCUCAAGCGUUGUUCGGAAUCACUGGGCGUAAAGCGUGCGUAGGCUGUUUCGUAAGUCGUGUGUGAAAGGCGCGGGCUCAACCCGCGGACGGCACAUGAUACUGGGAGACUAGAGUAAUGGAGGGGGAAGCGGAAUUCGCGGUGUAGCAGUGAAAUGCGUAGAUAUCGAGAGGAACACUCGUGGCGAAGGCGGGUUACUGGACAGUAACUGACGCUGAGGCACGAAAGCCAGGGGAGCGAAAGGGAUUAGAUACCCGUGUAGUC